GGUCGGUUCGGCCGGAUUUCACACAGGUGUUGCAUGGCUGUCGUCAGCUCGUGUCGUGAGAUGUUGGGUUAAGUCCCGCAACGAGCGCAACCCUCAUCCUUAGUUACCAUCGGGUCAUGCCGGGGACUUUAAGGAAACUGCCAGUGAUAAACUGGAGGAAGGCGGGGAUGAUGUCAAGUCAUCAUGGCCCUUAUGGAGUGGGCUACACACGUGCUACAAUGGUGAUUACAGUGGGCUGCAAGGUCGCAAGGCCAAGCUAAUCCCUAAAAAUCAUCUCAGUUCGGAUUGUUCUCUGCAACUCGAGAGCAUGAAGUUGGAAUCGCUAGUAAUCGUGGAUCAGCAUGCCACGGUGAAUACGUUCUCGGGUCUUGUACACACUGCCCGUCACGCCAUGG
rnacentral:rRNA from 1 species